rfam:Chelonia mydas contig18681, whole genome shotgun sequence.
GGCAGAGUGGCCCAGUGGGUAGGGUGCUGGAUUGGGACGCAGGAGACCUGGGUUCUGUUCCCUGCUCUGACG